rnacentral:ncRNA from 1 species
UAGGGGAGUAGAGAUAUGGGUAGAGGUGCAGGGAGCCUUCGGGUUCUCAACUUAUUUCCAAACUUCGAACCUCCUUGUUAGGCAUUUACCUAACUGGAAAUGCUUAAAUGAAUUAGCGUUACAAGUGGGCUCUGACCGGUAAGCGGUCAUGGCGAAAUGGGAUGAACCAUACGUCUGAAUAAGGUGCCGAAAUGUACUAUCACUGAUACCAUAAAGGGAGUCCAUGUAUUUAGACAGCAGGUCGGUGCCCCUAAAAGCAGGUAUCCGCUAAAGAGUGUGUUAAAACUCACCUGCCGAAUACUAGGGCCCCGAAAAUGAAUGGCGCAUAUAGUACUACCGAUCUCAGACAUCAGUUCUAUUGAACUGAGAGUAGGGGGAUGUGGACAUUUUUGUGAAGGUGCAAUGUGAGUUGGACUGGAAGAAUGUCUAUUACAGAUCCUAAUUGAAGUAGCGAUUAUCCAGGCUUGUAUCCUGGGGGCUGAUGAGGAGUAGGGUUUCUGGACAACUUAAACAGAUCCAGAGUUAGUCGAUCCUAAUCUCAAUAAUGGGAGAAAGGGAGUACAGUUGAUAUUCUGUAACUGACAACAGUUCGCGGCAACGCAUACUAUUUUUCUCCGCCAAUCUUAUACCGUUGGUAGGGAUCUCUUUCCUACAUGACAGUACUAAUACCCAGGGAAACUGGUCAUCAGGCGAACUGCGGCGUUCUGCUGGCAAAACAUAGCUUCGGUUAUGUCAAUGGCUAUUGGAUUGGUCCAUGAAGCGAAAAAUAGUUUACUGUGUCACUCGUACCGAUAACCGCAUCAGGUCUUCUAGGUAAGUAGCCUAUGGCCAUUGAGGCAUGAUAGUUCAGGGAAUUCGGCCAAUUAGAGCUGUAACUUCGGGAUAAAGCUUGGCUCUGAUGAAAAUCAGAACCGAUUGUUACGCGGAGAGCCCAACUGUUUAAUAAAAACGUAGUGUCGCGCUGUGGUAGUAUAGCCAGUGAACGCGACAUGAUCCUGCUCAGUGCUGUGUCUGUAUAUGGUUCAAGCCAACGAAGCACCGGUAAAUAGCU